rnacentral:tRNA from 1 species
GUUAUUGUAGCUUAUUUUUAUGAAAGCACGGCACUGAAGAUGCCGAGAAGGGUGGAAAAAUUCACCCCAAAAACA